CCUACGGGUGGCAGCAGUGGGGAAUAUUGCACAAUGGGGGAAACCCUGAUGCAGCGACGCCGCGUGAAGGACGAAGUAUUUCGGUAUGUAAACUUCUAUCAGCAGGGAAGAAAAUGACGGUACCUGACCAAGAAGCCCCGGCUAACUACGUGCCAGCAGCCGCGGUAAUACGUAGGGGGCAAGCGUUAUCCGGAUUUACUGGGUGUAAAGGGAGCGUAGACGGCCAUGCAAGUCUGAGGUGAAAACCCGGGGCUCAACCCCGGGACUGCAUUGGAAACUGUGCAGCUGGAGUGUCGGAGAGGCAGUAGGAAUUCCUGGUGUAGCGGUGAAAUGCGUAGAUAUUAGGAGGAACACCAGUGGCGAAGGCGGCUUGCUGGAC
rnacentral:rRNA from 1 species